GGGCGAUCUGCGCAUGGGGGAAACCCUGCGCAGCGCGCCGCGUGCGGGAAGAAGGCCUUCGGGUUGUAAACCGUUUUUGAUUGGGAGCAGCCUUUGGGGCGAGUGUUCUUUUCGCGUAACGGCCGGGUAAGUGAAAGCCACGGCCCGGGUUAUUCCAGCAGCCGCGGUA
rnacentral:rRNA from 1 species